rnacentral:rRNA from 1 species
CCUACGGGAGGCAGCAGUGAGGAAUAUUGGUCAAUGGGCGCGAGCCUGAACCAGCCAAGUAGCGUGCAGGAUGACUGCCCUACGGGUUGUAAACUUCUUUUAUAAAGGAAUAAAGUGAGGCACGUGUGCCUCUUUGUAUGUACUUUAUGAAUAAGGAUCGGCUAACUCUGUGCCAGCAGCCGCGGUAAUACGGAGGAUCCGCGCGUUAUCCGGAUUUAUUGGGUUUAAAGGGGGCGUAGAUGGGGUGUUAAGUCAGUUGUGAAAGUUUGCGGCUCAACCGUAAAAUUGCAAUUGAUAAUGGCAGUCUUGAGUACAGUUGAGGUAGGCGGAAUUCGUGGUGUAGCGGUGAAAUGCUUAGAUAUCACGAAGAACUCCGAUUGCGAAGGCAGCUUACUAAGCUGCCACUGACAUUGAUGCUCGAAAGUGUGGGUAUCAAACAGGAUUAGAUACCCCUGUAGUC